GCCGGCCUAGGGUGCUGUGGCACCGGGAGAUCCCAGCCGAGGGCCUUGUCCUGGGCUGGCGCUGUCGUUCCUCACAGAAACAGGGCAACACGAAGCCAUUAGGCCCUUCCUGGAGGUGGCUCGGGGUUUUUGGCCAUUGCCUCUUGUGGCCAGCUGCAUUUGGUAACAGGCUUUUGUUUGCCAUGAAGCAACCUGGUGGUAACACCAUUGUUAGACAUUUUACUAUGAUAUUUCUUCUCGUUCUGCCCUGGGACAGCCUGUUACACAAGUGUGCGGCAUGGUCUCUGGGAUUCAAAGCUUGGCAUGUGAAUCCGGCCCAGGCCACGACAACACCCCUCUCAAGUUCAUGCUAUAAGCUUGCUUUUUACAGGCUAUGUGGACAAUAACCACAUAUUCUGUUUGAGGUAAUGAUGUUUUAUUGCCAUCUCUUACAGGCCUGUUGAUACAACAGCAAAGCUGCCAAGGCUGGGUGGUUCCAGCAGGGCUCCUGGGGGAGGACACCCACCAGCAGCUCUGGGCACAGGGACCAGUGGGCUCACACCACACCACAUCACACCAGACAGCACCAGCCAUGAGUUCUGACCUACUCCAAUUAACCAACAUGACAGCAAAACACUCCAUCGCCAGCUGGGGCAAUCGCCUCUGACACAGCUGGCGUCGUGGUGGAGAGUCUCAGUCAUGACAAAUGAAACCACCGGUGUUUUCCUUCCACUUCCACUCUGGAACAGCACUGAGAAGGGAUCUCCUGGGCACCUGCACUGACAGAGCUGCGAACUUUGCUACCGGGUCAUGUACCAGGAAAAGAAAAUCUGUGUCUGGCGGAGGAGGAGCUGAGGAGCGGUGGGAGCCUCUCUGCAGAAGAGCGUUGACAUCUGGCGGCGGGUCUGGCAACUGCUGCGGUCUCCUUGAAAUAGAUUAAGAGAGCAGAUCGUCAGUAACUACAGUCACAGCUGCCAGUGUCCACAAAUGAACUGCCUGUUCCACACACCCACAGUCUAUUGGUGCUGCUUUACCUAAGAAGAGGAAUUCCUACAUCAAUACACUAAGCUAUUCCUGACACAGCAGUAUAAUACAGGAGAUCUCGAAACAAAGGGAGAAACACAGGCGGUGCCUCAGUGGAAUGAAGAAGGAACAAGAGGCCAGAAUCACCCUUUGGAAAAACAGAUGUUGGAAGGACUGCUGAAAAAGCAACAUCCUGAGCAAGAAAUCUUACUUCGUAAAACCAUGCGUAUU